rnacentral:rRNA from 1 species
CUCAGAAUGAACGCUGGCGGCAUGCCUAACACAUGCAAGUCGAACGAAUGCCCUUCGGGGUGUUAGUGGCGCACGGGUGCGUAACGCGUGGGAAUCUGCCCUUGGGUUCGGAAUAACAGUUGGAAACGACUGCUAAUACCGGAUGAUGACGUAAGUCCAAAGAUUUAUCGCCCAGGGAUGAGCCCGCGUAGGAUUAGGUAGUUGGUGUGGUAAAGGCGCACCAAGCCGACGAUCCUUAGCUGGUMUGAGAGGAUGAUCAGCCACACUGGGACUGAGACACGGCCCAGACUCSUACGGGAGGCAGCAGUGGGGAAUAUUGGACAAUGGGCGAAAGCCUGAUCCAGCAAUGCCGCGUGAGUGAUGAAGGCCUUAGGGUUGUAAAGCUCUUUUACCCGGGAUGAUAAUGACAG